rnacentral:lncRNA from 1 species
AGGAUGCCUUACCAGAGCGAUGAGGAGACUGGGAAGUAAAAAGAAUUCCUAAACUCUCCGAUAUAUAAUUCCUAAAUGACUCAAAACAUUUUUCUAGACACAACUCGGCUGCUAAAAACGAUCAAUCAAUGGGGCUCCUAAGGUCGGGGAAGGCUUUGAUUACCAACUUCUAACGCCCUCGAUGCAACUAUAUCCCCCACGUGUCGAGGCACGACUUAGAGGCAUAAUCGCAUUGAAGGCAUAUGUCGCAAGUGAGGUAAUCUUCACACAACCCAUGUAAUACAAUAAGGGAAAGAGAUACAUAGUUGGCUUACAAUCGCCACUUCACCCAAUUACAUGAAUAAAGCAUUACAUCAAUCAGAUACAAUCAAGGCCCGACUACGGAGCCAAAAUAAAAGAAGAACCCCAAAUGCGACAAAAGGUCCCCGAUCGACCCCAACUGGGCUCCACUACUGAUCAACUAGAACGAAACAACACAAAGUACAAGAUCUUCAUCGAGCUCCUCCUUGAACUUGGUUGCGUCAUCUGCACGGACUCAUCGGCACCUGCAAGCUGGUUUUGGAAGUAACUGUGAGCCACGGGGACUCAGCAAUCUCACACCCUCGCGGUCAAGACUAUUUAAGCUUAUGGGUAAGGUAAAGUUAGGAGGUGGAGCUGCAGCGAGCGACUAGCAUAUAUGGUGGCUAACAUACGCAAAAGAGAGCGAGAAGAGAAGGCAAAGCACGGUCGAUAAAAGUAUGAUCAAGAAGUGAUCCUAUGACAACCUACGUCAAGCAUAACUCCAACAACCAUGUUCGCUUCCCGGACCCCGCCGGAAAGAGACCAUCACGGUUACCCACGCGGUUGAUUCAUUUUAAUUAAGGUCAACUUCAGGUUUUCUACAACCGGACAUUAACAAAUUCCCAUCUGCCCAUAACCGCGGGCACGGCUUUCAAAAGUUCAAAUCCCUGCAGGGGUGUCCCAACUUAGCCCAUCACAAGCUCUCACGGUCAACGAAGGAAUAGACCUCCUCCCGAGACAUUCCGAUCAGACUCGGUAUCCCGGUACAACAAGAUAUUUCGACAGGGUAAAACUAAACCAGCAACACCGCCCGAAUGUGCCGACAAAUCCCGAUAGGAGCUGCACAUAUCUCUUUCUCAGGGCACACUCAGAUUGUCUUAGGUACGGGUAAGCCAGCCCAGAGUUGCCCCUGGUGGCCACCGGCUGCUGACAGGUGGACCAACACUCAGAGGAGAACUAGCCCGGGGGGAUAAAAUAAUGAUGACCCUUGAGUCUGCGAAACCCAAGGGAAAAAGAGGCUAGGUGGCGAAUGGUAAAACCAAUGUUGGGCAUUGCUGGAAGAGCUUUACUUAAGACGAACUGUCAAGGGGUUCCCAUAAUAGCCCAACCACGUAAGGAACGCAAAAUCCGGGAACAUAACACCGAUAUGACGGAAACUAGGGCGACAAGAGUGGAACAAAACACCAGGCAUAAGGCCGAGCGUUCCACCCUUUACCAAGUAUAUAGAUGCAUUAAUUAAAUAAGAUAUAUAGUGAUAUCCCCACAAGUAAACAUGUUCCAACAAGGAACAACAUCUCCAAGUUCCAACAAGGAACAAACUUCAAUCUUCACCUGCAACUAACAACGCUAUAAGAGGGGCUGAGCAAAGCGGUAACAUAGCCAAUCAACGGUUUGCUAGGACAAGGUGGGUUAGAGGCUUGGUUCAACAAUAUGGGAGGCAUGAUAAGCAAGUGGUAGGUAUCGCAGCAUCGGCAUAGCAAAAGAGCGAGCAACUAAGUAAGCAAAGAUAGAAGUGAUUUCGAGGGUAUGAUCAUCUUGCCUGAAAUCCCGCAAGGAAGAAGAACGAGUCCAUGAAGAAGACAAACGGACGAAGUCGAACGGUUCCUCACAAACGCGACGUUACCGGAACCAACCCGAAGAAGCAACACCGGAAAGAAGCACACAACAUAGUAAACAACCACCACAUAGACAUGGCAUGAUGCACAAUCAAGUAUGAUGCAUGUCCGGUUUAAUGAAGCAUGGCAUGGCAAAGUGCACAAACAACACUACAAGUUAAGUGGAGCUCAAUAUGCAACGAGUUGCAUAUUGACGGAACACCACGUGAUUCAUUUAGUUCAAUCUUGUUUAUGUACCCAACAAUAUUAAAUGUUGUUAAACAUGGCAAGAGGGUGAAGCAAAAGAAAACUACCUAUCUAGGCAAGUUUAAAUGAGGCCGGAACAACAAACCACAAUUCCGGAAACUCCUCAUGAGCAUAUUAUAGAUUUGGUACUGUUCUGCCCUAAACCAGAUUUUAGAGUUGUUAAACAUGCAAAGUAAGGCCACCAUGUUAAACUAGGCAUUUUUAUACCCCAAUUACAUAUAAAGUUUAUUAAAUUCCGAGUUACGGUUAAAUAGUUAUGAAUUUAAUCAUUUUAACAUGGCAUAGGAGCAAAUUUAAACAAACAUCAUUUUAGACAUUUUGAACAUGGAUGAAAGUGACAUAUUAUUAAAC